GAUUUCCAUGGCAGCGCCGCUGCGGACAGAGCGGACUAGGAGCCUGGCGAGGCUUGGAGGCGCGGCGGGGCGAGGAUGGGGUCCGCCCAGAGAGCCCUGGCAGGUUUUGAUCUUUGGGGUCCAGGCUCUUUGUGGUUCAAAAUGCUGACGUGGGCUGGGCGAUCUGCUUCAGUCGUGUGAGGCGGCCUUUUGUCGGAAGAUGGUUGGCAAACUCAAGCAGAACUUGUUGCUGGCGUGCCUAGUGGUCAGCUCGGUGACAGUCUUCUACUUGGGGCAACAUGCCAUGGAAUGCCACCACUGGACAGAGGAACGGAGCCAGCUGGUCCGCCUGGAGCCAGCGAGGGCCACAUCGAGAGCCAGCUUGGGUUUGAAAGAAAACGCCACCUUGCCUUACCACAAAGACAUGCCUUUAAUCUUCAUCGGAGGGGUGCCCCGGAGUGGCACGACCUUGAUGCGGGCAAUGCUGGAUGCUCACCCGGACAUCCGUUGCGGGGAAGAGACCAGGGUGAUCCCUCGGAUCCUGGCCAUCAAGCAGAUGUGGGCUCGGUCAAGCAAGGAGAAGAUCCGACUGGAUGAGGCGGGUGUCACUGAUGAGGUCUUGGAUUCAGCCAUGCAGGCAUUCUUGUUGGAGAUCAUCGUAAAGCAUGGAGAGCCGGCUCCAUUCCUGUGCAACAAGGACCCCUUUGCCCUCAAGUCCUUAACUUACCUCGCCAAGAUUUUCCCCAAUGCCAAAUUUGUCUUGAUGGUACGAGACGGCCGGGCGUCCGUCCAUUCCAUGAUCUCCCGGAAGGUCACCAUUGCUGGCUUUGACCUCGACAGCUACAGGGACUGCUUGAUCAAGUGGAAUCGUGCCAUUGAGAUUAUGUACAACCAGUGCUUGGAGGCCGGCUUGGACCGUUGCAUGAUUGUGCAUUACGAGCAGCUGGUCUUGCAUCCUGAGCAGUGGCUGAGGACCCUUCUGAAGUUCCUUCACAUCCCGUGGAAUCCUGCCGUUUUGCACCACGAAGAAAUGAUCGGGAAAGCCGGGGGCGUCUCUCUUUCCAAAGUUGAAAGAUCUACGGACCAAGUAAUCAAGCCGGUGAACGUGGAAGCCUUGUCGAAAUGGGUUGGGAAAAUCCCCGAUGACGUUGUUCAUGAUAUGCCGGUGAUUGCCUCCAUGCUGGCAAAACUAGGCUACGACCCUUUUGCCAACCCCCCCAACUACGGGAAGCCGGAUCAGAAAGUUCUGGAAAACACGAGAAGGGUCUAUAAAGGAGAAUUUCAGCUUCCUGAUUUUCUCAAAGGAAUGCCACAGCCCAGGAAGACGGUGGAAAGGAAGCCGCAUGUCAAGAUAAAAUGAAUGAGGAGCUGAUAAAAGUAGAAUAACUGAUCUAGUGAAAUAGAAGACCUGGUGGACUUAAUGGGAUGUUGGCUGCCUUUUAAAGAAAGCAGCUGGGUGACAUCGUCAAAGAACCUGCUGGGCUGUUUGUUCAGAAAAUAUUUUUUUGUUUCAUACUAUGGUCUUUUUUUUAAAAAAAGGGGGGAAGAGUUGUGUGCACAUGUAAACUUCUGUGUCUCACUCCUUGUGCCACUGACUCCACUGAAAUACGGGAGCUGUUUAUGGCAAGUGAUUCCAGGAUCAAGGCACUGAAGAGAGGACAAUCCAGUUAGAAAUCUCUUCUGGGCAAGCCUCCUUAGAGCCAAUGGAUAGCGCACAAGAACACUUCAUUGCAUGCUUGCUGUCCAGCGUUCACGACACUUAUGUUCUUGGUGGACUGAGCCUGAAGCACUUUCAUGGCAAAACUCCUAAGACUUGGUGCUGGAAAUCCAGGACUUUUGUUGUCCGUUUACACAACUGUUUAGAAACCACAGAAGCAGAGCGUGUUUGGGCUGAGCUGAAGAUGCUAGUCUGUCUGUUUUUUUCUUUCUCUCUCUCUAGUUCUUGCACCUUAGCUUUUAAAUGAGUGGAUUUUUAAAAACUGCUUCAGGAUGUCAAAUACAUGAAAUCGUGGAAAUACAUUUUUGUGCUUGCCUGAAGAUACUUAGCUGUGGCCCACAGGUGUGUGAGCAGCGGGCUGUGACCACACUGGAGCAUGUCUGUUGAUAUCUGUGUGCAUAUCCACCAAACUGUUGGUAGGCGGUCAUCACAUGAUGGGGAUGGAGAAACAGAGACUUAGACUUCAUCUCCCUUGCCCCCUCACCCCAAACCGGAGAUGGACAAUGCCAAGGCUGAUUCCUCAGAUUAUCUGUGCAUCAAUGCCCAUGCAGGCUGAUCUGCGAUCUGCAAGGGUGCCUACAUAUACGAAUCUUGGGUACUGGCUAGGAGUCCUUUUUUCUUCUUGCUCUUGUCCCUGUGGGUUAUCUUUUUCCACACAUGGCUCGGGUCUGUCAGUUGAUACACAUGCAGGGAUUUGCUCCUCUGUGUGUAUUCCUUUUCUUUGAUCAGUGGCGAUUAUUUGCUUUUCAAUUUCUGGAGAAUGAUUUAUGUGCUCCUCCCUCUUCUUCUUUUUGCAGUUUUAUUGACAUGUGAAAAAUGAUCUUAGUUUUAAUUAUUUAAAAAAAAAUGAUAUCUGAGAUGUGGAGAGAUGACUUGUAUGUUUACAAUUCAACAACCUUUUUGUAUUUUU